UAGGGAAUUUUGCGCAAUGGACGAAAGUCUGACGCAGCAACGCCGCGUGAGUGAUGAAGGUCUUCGGAUUGUAAAGCUCUGUUGAUUGGGAAGAAAAGUUCCGGGAAUAAUACCUCGGGGCGUGACGGUACCAGUCGAGGAAGCACCGGCUAACUACGUGCCAGCAGCCGCGGUAAUACGUAGGGUGCAAGCGUUGUUCGGAAUCACUGGGCGUAAAGGGAGAGUAGGCGGGAAAAUAAGUUAGAAGUUUAAUAUAUAGGCUUAACCUAUAACCUGCUUCUAAUACUGUUUUUCUUGAGUAUUGGAGAGGGAGAUGGAAUUCCAGGUGUAGCGGUGGAAUGCGUAGAUAUCUGGAAGAACACCAGCUGCGAAGGCGGUCUCCUGGCCAAAUACUGACGCUGAUGCUCGAAAGCUAGGGGAGCAAACAGG
rnacentral:rRNA from 1 species